GAUUUAAACUGAAAAAGUCAUCAACAACAAAGUUGUAUAACUCAUCAAGAUCUAUAACUUCUAUUUUGGUCAUUUCUUCAUUCGACAAAGUUAUUUGUAACAUUGUUCACAAAAUGUACAUAUCUUAUAUAGUUUUAUAAACUAUAGAGAUAUAUAUAUAUAUAUAUAUAUAAAUUUUAUGAAAAUGUUACGAUCACUUUGUCGGAUGAAGAAAAUGACCAAGAUAGAAGUUAUAUAGAUCUUGAUGAGUUAUACAACUUUGUUGUUGAUGACUUUUUCAUCUGAAAUC
rnacentral:pre_miRNA from 1 species